rnacentral:rRNA from 1 species
UACGUAGGGAGCAAGCGUUGUCCGGAUUUAUUGGGCGUAAAGAGCGCGUAGGCGGCUCGGUAAGCCGGAUGUGAAACCUCCAAGCUCAACUUGGAGCGGCCAUUCGGAACUGCUGUGGCUAGAGUCUGGUAGGGGAACACGGAAUUCCUGGUGUAGCGGUGAAAUGCUUAGAUAUCAGGAGGAACACCAGUGGCGAAGGCGGUGUUCUGGGCCAGUACUGACGCUGAGGCGCGAAAGCGUGGGGAGCGAACAGG